rnacentral:rRNA from 1 species
UACAGAGGGUGCGAGCGUUGUUCGGAAUUAUUGGGCGUAAAGGGCGCGCAGGCGGUCGUUCAAGUCGAGUGUGAAAGCCCCCGGCUCAACUGGGGAGGGUCACUCGAUACUGAUCGACUCGAAGGCAGGAGAGGGAAGCGGAAUUCCCGGUGUAGUGGUGAAAUGCGUAGAUAUCGGGAGGAACACCAGUGGCGAAGGCGGCUUUCUGGCCUGUUCUUGACGCUGAGGCGCGAAAGCUAGGGUAGCAAACGGG